rnacentral:lncRNA from 1 species
GGGCACUGUUUCUCCAUCUGGAGCCCAUUGGGAGCUCCUUCACCAGCACACUGAGCCCUGCCGAGGUGAUCCACACAUGUCUGGAAGGGGAGACACUUAGAAAGUGCCUGUGCCCCACAGCUGUGGGUGACUCUGAUACUCACUCAGUUGGACACCUUCACUCAGAGUGAGGGAAUUCAUUCCCAACUCACAGAAACCACAGGCCGUGGAAAGCUGAGGUUAUUGCUUGCUGAGGGAAAUAACAUCAAGAUGGAUGAGAUCAGUCUAAUGGCUCAAGUUAUGUUUGCCAAGGGGACCGUGAAAUUCCAUGAAACACUCCCACCUUCCUCCACCCACCCAGACAGCCAGACCCCUCUACUGUCCAUCUAUCUCUCCCAUGGCCAGCCUUUCAAAGGGAAGCUGGAAUAAUUACACACACUAAUGAUUUUGCACUGCCUAAUUGGUCUUGCCCACCUACCUGUGAUGACAGUUGAGGCUGAACACCUGUUGCUGGCACGAGCUCACCACAAGCAGCUCUCAGUGACAGAAGAGGUACAGGUACUGCUGAACCAGCCCUAGUGUUUUAGUUCUUUAAAAACUUAAAACUAGCCGUCUGGCAACCAAACCUGCCCUCAGGCACUUAAUGUAUUAACCAUUCAUGAUUGUGCCAAAGCCCCAGAAACCUCUAGCAGUCAGCCCCAGGUUUAGGAAAAUUUGUUAUUGAAAUUAAGAAAUUGCAUAACUUGCAGAUAAAUGAGAACUGUUUAGAAAUACAGAAUCCAGGCCAGGUGCGGUGGCUCACGCCUGUAACCCCAGCACUUUGGGAGGCCAAGGUGGGCGGAUCAUGAGGUCAAGAGAUCGAGACCAUCCUGGCUAAUACGGUGAAACCCCAUCUCUACUAAAAAUACACAAAAUUAGCCGGGCAUGGUGGCGGGCACUGUAGUCCCAGCUACUCAGGAGGCUGAGGCAGGAGAGUGGCGUGAACCCAGGAGGCGGAGCUUGCAGUGAGCCGAGAUCGCACCAUUGCACUCCAGCCUGGGCGACAGAGCAAGACUCUGUCUCAAAAAAAAAAAGAAAAGAAAAAAGAAAUAGAGAAUCUAAAACAGCAUGGUACUAGGAUAAAAAUAGACAUAUAGACCAAUGGAACAGAAUAGAGAACCCAGAAAUUAAUCCACAUAUCCUAUAGUCAACUAAUUUUUGACAGAGGUGCCAAGAAUACUCACUGGGGAAAGGAGAAUCUCUUCAAUAAAUGGUGCUGGGGAAACUGGAUAUCCAUACACAGAAGAAUGAAACUAGACUCCCACUUGUCAUCUAUACAAAAAUCAACUCAAAAUGGAUUAAAGAUCUGAAUGUAAGAUCCAAAACUACAAAAUUACUGGACGAAAACAUAGAUUGGCCUGAGAAAAAGUUUUACAAAUAAGAUAUCAAAAGCACAGGCAACAAAACCAAAAAAAUAAAGAAAUGUGUUUAUAUCAAGCUAUAAAGCUUCUACAUAACAAAGGAAACAAUCAACAAAGUGAAAAGAUCAACCUACAGAAUGGGAGAAGAUACUUGCACACUAUUUAUCCAGCAGGGGAUUAAUAUCCAGAAUGUACAAGGAACUCAAACACCUCAACAGCAAAAAACAAUGUGAUUAUAAAAUGGGCAAAUGAUCUGAACAAACAUUUCUCAAAAGAAGACAUACAGAUGGCCAAUAAAUACAUGAAAAAACGUUCAACAUCACUAAUCAUCAGGGAAAUGCAAACCAAAACCACAAUGAGGUAACAUCUCACCCCAGUUAGGAUGGCUAUUAUCAAAAAGACAAAAAAUAACAAAUGCUGGUGAGAAUAUGGAGAAAAGAGAACUCUUAUACAUUACUGAUGGGAAUGUAAACUAGAACAGCCACUAUGGAGAACAAUAUGGAAGUUCCUCAAAAACUACAAAUAGAACUACCAGAUAAUCCAGCAAUCCCAUUACUGGGAAUCUAGCCAAAGGAAGGGAAAUCAGUAUUUUGAGGAAACAUUUGCACCCCCAUGUUUAUUGCAGCAGUGUUCACAGUAGCCAAGCCAACCUAGGUAUCCAACAACAGAUUAAUGGAUAAAGAAUACGUGAAAUAUACAAUGGAAUACUAUUCAGCCAUAAAAAGGAAGGAAAUCUGUCAUUCACAGCAACGUGGAUGGAAUUAGAGGACAUUACGUUAAGUGCAAGAACAAAAUUAAGCACCACAUGCUCUCACUCAUAUGUGGAAGCCAAGAAAAUGUUAAUCUCAUAACAUUUCUUAGAAAGAACAUACUUUCAAGAAAGAACUUACUUUCCUGUCAAAAGUAGAACAGAGGAUAGUAGAGGCUGGGAAAAGUAGAGGAAUAAGGAUAGGAAGAUAUUUGUUACAGGAUACAAAGUUACAGCUAGAUAGGAGAAGUAAGUUAUAGUGUUCUAUCCCACUGUAGGAUGAUUAUAGUUCACAAUAAUAUAUGGUUUUAAAUAUCUAGAAGGAGGGUAUUAAAUGUUUCUAACACAAAGAAAUGAUAAAUAUUUGAGAUAAUGGAUGUGCUAAAUACCUUGGUCUGGUCGCACUAUACAUUGUAUGUAUCAAAACACCACUGUGUACCCCAUAAAUAUGUAUAAUUA